GGUUUCUGCAGCUGUUGGAGGAGGACUUGGUGGUGCUAAGGAAUGGAGUACUGCAAGGACGGACGCCGCUUCCGUUGAACUCAGGUGAGCUUGCGAGUCCGCGACGGCCUUGGUGAUUUUACUAUUACUGCUACUCUAUUAGUCAUGGAAUUCGGGAGAGCUUGGGUUCGAAUUUUAUUUUCUGGGAUUUUUAUCGGGGUGUAUGCAACUGUAUAACUGUAAAUUGGCUUGCCCCUGGGUGUUCUUGGUUGGUGAUUCGGCAAUGAUUUGAAGCGGUCUGGCUUAUGAGCCGGUGGUUAGGUGGAGUCUGGUUAUUAUAGUUUCGGUACAGGAGGGGGAAAGGUGGCACAAAUCUGGGGGCAGGGCAUGUUUCUGCCUGAUUGAUCCAAUCAUUUUUUUCUUCUGGUAUCAAUCAAUCAUGCCAGCAUCUGAAACGGACUAUCAAAUCUGAAUUAGCACUGUUUUUUAUAUAUAAUGAUACCAUACAGCUCGAGAUGAACAUAUGCUUGACUGAAUAGCUGUUCAUACAUCUGGAGGUGUUACUAUGAGUACAAUUACCAUUCAGAAAGAAAAGAACUAUGAGUAAAAUGCAGAGAACGCACUUCCAGACUAUCAAUCAUGCAUGCCCAUAUCAUUUGCUUUUCUUAAUGUUUCUCAGUUUAACUUACUAGUCUCUUGUCUAUGUAUUUUUUGCUGCCAGAAGGGACCCAAAUAGGUUGCAACUGGGAGUAAAAUAUGUGUCUAAACUGAUCGUCUGGUGCGAAAAUUGACGACCAAGAUCCAGUUAUGUGUAUUGCAGGACAACACCUUUCAUUAGAUACACUUUGAUGCUAUUUCUAGCAUGAAUUUCUAUUUCAGACUUAAAACUAAAAUUCUGAACAAGUAAAAUCGCUCUUGUUCCUUAUUUUUUUAGGGCGGUUCCUCUCGUUUUACUGGUUCGUCCGCUCCUUCAUGAUUGAUGUACUGGUUCUAGCCCCUCCUUCGUGAUAGACUCGGUUAACUCUUUGUUAGCCUUGUGGGUCAUAAUUCUUUCUCUCCAGACGCAUAUACUGCCUGAUGUAUUGCUCAUGCUCAUUCUGUACCGAGAUAGUCCUAAUAUCCAUAGGGUUGUAGAUUGAUUUCCCCUGAAAAAGCUAUGCUUCUUUCCUUGGAUGAUAAGCAUGUUCGGUAGCUAUGUGGAAUUCUUAAGAUAAACGGUCUUUACUUUCUUUUGGUGCAUCUGCGUGCACAUAAUAGUCUGUUAGUUUCUCUUUAUAUAAUGAAAAAAAUAUGUUGUUGUAGCUUGUUUAUUAUUAUCUAUCAUUUGUAGAUUGAUUUUUAGGCCACCGGUACUUGUAUGUAUAAUUUCUAGUCUCUUGAAUGAAUAAUUUUUCUUUAUGUGUCAUGCGUCUUGUGUUACUACAUACAUCUGUCGUGAAGUACAUGGUUCCGGAACUAUGGUAACCCAUAGUUUGCUCUACUCGUGAUAGUAGGAUGAUGGAAGCAUCACUAUUGAAUGUAGUUCAUGUUUCUUCAUAUAAUCAUCAUUUACUAGAGUUUCUCUUCUUCUUGCUACUGCUUGGUUUUUGACGCCACUAGCUUGUACUAGAACGCAAACACAUCAUAUUGUUUUCAUCAGACUAGUGUACCUUGAGCAUGCAAAGUAAACACAUGCUACUCCACUUGUCUAUUUGUACAUAAACUUUUGUUUAAAUAAACCGAGCUAAUAAACCAAACGGUGCGAACACAUUCAGUUCUGAAAUUUGUCUACUCCACUUGUUUGAUUGUACUGAAACCUUUGUUUGCAUGUUUCUAAAAUACAGAGAAGAACACCCUGUGUUCUGGUAAAAUUUCCUAUGAUAUGAAAUUCCAUGAUGUGUGUGUUGUUUCAGUUUCUGUAGCUACAACAAAGUCCCAGUUUACUCUGUACUUGCUUUUGAUGAUUGCUGGCUAAAUUUACAGUUGAAAUAAUAGUAGCCAAGGAGUAGAUACAAGACGUAUUUACCAUAUUUUGCAUGGAAUGUUAAAAAUCAGUUUUGUUGUGGUUUCUUGUUCUGUGAGUCAAAUUGCAUAAGAUGGGAGUAUCACAACAUGCAUAUACUGAAGAUGGGAGUAUCACAACCUGAAUGUGCAGCUUAUGUAGUUUCUGUAUUUUUGUUAAAGCAUGGAGUAGCUUCUAUAGUUUCUGUAUUUUUGUUAAAGCAUGGAGUAGCUUCUAUAGCUUCCUCACAAGUUAAUGCUUCGCUCGUCCGGGUGUGUGAUAAUGCCAUUUGUCUUGUGCAAUCAGAUUACAUUUCUGUUUGUUAUGGUAAUAUAAAUAUUCAUCCUGUCAAAAUUUUCACAGUGCGUGUCUUUCAUUUCUUUAAUUUGAUUGUUUCCCUUGUAUUCAAUAUGCUUCUAGUGGCUGAUCCUUCCAUUUUUGUUGUGGCAUCUUUAUUUUCACAGGUGUUGUGUGUUCUGGAAGAUGGAAGAGGAAGAAAUUGUUGAACUAAAUUUUCUGUAUUCUGUUUUGUUGUACGUAUCAUUUGAUAGUUUUGUAUAGGAACAAGUGAUACUAUUUUGUAGGGCUUUAUGGCCUGUGAUGUAAACAUAUUUAGUGCUGAAAUAUGAAAUUAUUUGCAAAAUUUGUCAAAAAGGUGGAUCAUAUGUAUGAAUAUGUGAAUGGGCUGAAAAGAGUACUGGACCAACUCCAGGAUUG
rnacentral:lncRNA from 1 species